CAGUAGCCGCGGUAAUACGGAGGGAGCUAGCGUUGUUCGGAAUUACUGGGCGUAAAGCGCGCGUAGGCGGUUACUCAAGUCAGAGGUGAAAGCCCGGGGCUCAACCCCGGAACUGCCUUUGAAACUAGGUGACUAGAAUCUUGGAGAGGUCGGUGGAAUUCCGAGUGUAGAGGUGAAAUUCGUAGAUAUUCGGAAGAACACCAGUGGCGAAGGCGACUGACUGGACAAGUAUUGACGCUGAGGUGCGAAAGCGUGGGGAGCAAACAGGAUUAGAUACCCCCGUAGUCCCUGUCUCUUAUAC
rnacentral:rRNA from 1 species